rnacentral:rRNA from 1 species
GACGAACGCUGGCGGCGCGCUUAACACAUGCAAGUCGAACGAAGAGCGAUGGAAGCUUGCUUCUAUCAAUCUUAGUGGCGAACGGGUGAGUAACGCGUAAUCAACCUGCCCUUCAGAGGGGGACAACAGUUGGAAACGACUGCUAAUACCGCAUACGCUCUGACCUCGGCAUCGAGGAUAGAUGAAAGGUGGCCUCUAUUUAUAAGCUAUCACUGCAGGAGGGGAUUGCGUCUGAUUAGCUUGUGGGCGGGGUAACGGCCCACCAAGGCGAUGAUCAGUAGCCGGUCGGAGAGGAUGAACGGCCAGAUUGGGACUGAGACACGGCCCAGACUCCUACGGGAGGCAGCAGGGGGGAAUCUGCCGCAAUGGACGGAAGUCUGACGGAGCAACGCCGAGGGAGGGAUGACGGCCUUCGGGUUGUAAAGCUCUGUUAAUCGGGACGAAAGGCCUUCUUGCGAAUAGUUAGAAGGAUUGACGGUACCGGAAUAGAAAGCCACGGCUAACUACGUG